rnacentral:lncRNA from 1 species
ACAGCAACAUACAUGUAUGUGUAAAGUAGAGAAAAUCUAUAUUGAGCUAUAUACUGCAGACAUCAAGUUGGUGUUCUUAUGUAAGCUUGACAAGACUGGUUUUAUGCUUCAAAUAUGGUGUCAGUUAUUUGUUUAUUGUCCUCGUGGUCAUCGGCCAAUGAGUAAAUAAUAGUUAUUGUAAUAUUUGAAAGGGAAAACAAUUUCUGUUCUAACAGCUAUUACGUGUAUUGCAUUGCAGUUUGAAUUAUAAAUACUUCUCUAAUCAAACUUGAACUUGCUACUUACUCACUGAAAAAAAAGGAUUGUUACAUUAGUCUGUUUCAGCAUCAUUGAUUAUUUUAUAAUUUGUUAUGUAUUGCAAUGUAAUGAACUUUAAAAUGGGUAUUCAUUUAUUUUUCCAUUGAAGCUAUAUAGAAUAAUUGAUCAGAAUUGAAUCGUCCAUUGAAUAAGUUACACUUGUUUGCAGCAAAGAUUCCGAUGUGUU